UAGGGCUGGGAAAGGAGAGAAAUCAGAACAUUUGAAUAACGUGAGUCAUCUAGCCAUCCCGGACUACUGCCAAGCUGUUCCCCUUAAUAAAAAUACCACAAAGCUCAAAGAGGAUAAAAUAGGUAGGUGGCUCUAGCUAGAGAGCUAAAGGGAAGAUGAAGAUCAACAAGGGAAGUGCGAAGUCAAACCAGGGGAGGAUGGAAGUUCUCAUGCACAGCGCCUGCAUCAAGGAAAGGCCACGUGAGUACACAACGUGAAGGCCCCCCCUACACGCCUGGAAGGGCACCCUCACCAGACUUGACCAUGCUGGUACUCUGAUCUCAGACUCUGCCUCCAGGACAGUGAGGAAUAAAUGUCUGUGGUUUAAGCCAC